AGUAAGUUCGAAUACCCAAAUCAUAGAUUUGGAUUCUCACUUAAGUUGACGAGGUUGGGGAGUUAUCGAAACUUCGGCGGGUGCCCCACGGUAAGGUUAUUUGAAAUAUUAUUUUGUUUCAGAGACCGCAGCACUACCGUUAACAACUGGCAAAACUUUAAAGUAAUUUAAAGUACAAAUCCAGUUUGGUGUUAAAA
rnacentral:ncRNA from 1 species